AUAUUAGACAUGAAAUAAAAAUGUAAUUGAUUAUAUAAAGGAUACGAGAAAAUAGAGAAUAUGAUAAACCAGAAAGGAUUAUAUUGGAAAGUAAAGUAUUUGUAAUGAGAGGGCGCAUUGGAACUUACCUGAUACGCCCAUUCUC